GGAUUGAAAUGGCCCCUGUGGCCUGCAACACAUAUAUGGUUAAGGCAUUGCCACCUACUUAGUGGCAUCUCUAACCAAGGUUGUUU